rnacentral:rRNA from 1 species
GAUGAACGCUGGCGGCGUGCCUAAUACAUGCAAGUCGAGCGAACGGACGAGAAGCUUGCUUCUCUGAUGUUAACGGCGGACGGGUGAGUAAAACGUGGAUAACCUACCUAUAAGACUGGGAUAAAUUCGGGAAACCGGAGCUAAUACCGGAUAAUAUUUUGAACAGGAUGGUUCAAAAGUGAAAGACGGUCUUGCUGUCACUUAUAGAUGGAUCCGCGCUGCAUUAGCUAGUGGGUAAGGUAACGGCUUACCAAGGCAACGAUGCAUAGCCGACCUGAGCGGGUGAUCGGCCACACUGGAUCUGAGAGACAGUCCAGACUCCUACGGGAGGCAGCAGUAGGGAAUCUUCCGCGAUGGGGGAGAGCCUGACGUAGCACAGCCGCGUGAGUGAUGAAGGUCUUCGGAUCGGAAAACUCUGUUAUUAGGGAAGAACAUAUGUGUAAGUAACUGUGCACAUCGUGACGGUACCUAACCAGAAAGCCACGGCUAACUACGUG